rnacentral:rRNA from 1 species
GAUGAACGCUGGCGGCGUGCCUAAUACAUGCAAGUCGAGCGAACAGACGAGGAGCUUGCUCCUCUGACGUUAGCGGCGGACGGGUGAGUAACACGUGGAUAACCUACCUAUAAGACUGGGAUAACUUCGGGAAACCGGAGCUAAUACCGGAUAACAUGUUGAACCGCAUGGUUCAACAGUGAAAGACGGUCUUGCUGUCACUUAUAGAUGGAUCCGCGCCGCAUUAGCUAGUUGGUAAGGUAACGGCUUACCAAGGCAACGAUGCGUAGCCGACCUGAGAGGGUGAUCGGCCACACUGGAACUGAGACACGGUCCAGACUCCUACGGGAGGCAGCAGUAGGGAAUCUUCCGCAAUGGGCGAAAGCCUGACGGAGCAACGCCGCGUGAGUGAAGAAGGUCUUCGGAUCGUAAAACUCUGUUAUUAGGGAAGAACAAAUGUGUAAGUAACUAUGCACGUCUUGACGGUACCUAAUCAGAAAGCCACGGCUAACUAUGUG